rnacentral:rRNA from 1 species
ACUCCGUGCCAGCAGCCGCGGUAAGACGGAGGAUGCAAGUGUUAUCCGGAAUCACUGGGCGUAAAGCGUCUGUAGGUGGUUUGAUAAGUCAACUGUUAAAUCUUGAAGCUUAACUUCAAAAUCGCAGUCGAAACUAUUAGACUAGAGUAUAGUAGGGGUAAAGGGAAUUUCCAGUGGAGCGGUGAAAUGCGUAGAGAUUGGAAAGAACACCGAUGGCGAAGGCACUUUACUGGGCUAUUACUGACACUCAGAGACGAAAGCUAGGGUAGCAAAUGGGAUUAGAUACCCCA